rnacentral:rRNA from 1 species
ACGAGGGUUUGAUCAUGGCUCAGUACAUGAACGCUAGCGGCAGGCUUAAUACAAUGCAAGUCGAGGGGCAGUAGGCGGAGUAGCAAUACUCACGCCGGGAGCACCUUGCGCACUAGUGCGUAACACGUAUCAGUGGAAUCUGCCUCUAACAGGGGAAUAGUAUCGGAGAAAUUCGGAUUAAUACCCCAUAACAAAUGAGUUGGCAUCAUUUUACUUGAAAGCUACGGCGGUUAGAGAUGAGUAUGCGUCUGAUUAGCUAGCAUGAGGUAACGGCUCACCAAGGCGCCGAUCAGUAGGGGAUCUGGAAGAGGAUGACCCCCCACACGGAUACUGAGACACGGAUCCGACUCCUACGGGAGGCAGCCUAAGGAAUAUAUUGGACAAUGCCCGCAAGGGUGAUCCAGCCAUGCCGCUAGCAGGAAGACGGCCCUAUGGGUUGUUUAACUGCUUUUGUACCGGAGAACACUUUCCUAUGCGUAUGAGAGCUGAUCGUACCUCGAAUAUCCAUUUAGCUAACUUCGUGUUACAGCAGUUACGGUAAGACGAAGGAUGCAAGCGUUAUCCGGAUUUAUUUGGGUUUAAAGGGAGCGUAGGCGGUCUAAUAAGUCAGUGGUGAAAUCUCUCGGCUUAACUGAGAAAUGGCCAUUGAUACUGUUGGACUUGAGUACAGAUGCCGUUGGCGGAAUAUGACAUGUAGUAGUGAAAUACAUAGAGAUGUCAUAGAACACCGAUUGCGAAGGCAGCUGACGAAACUGUAACUGACGCUGAGGCUCGAAAGUGUGGGGAUCAAACAGGAUUAGAUACCCUGGUAGUCCACACUGUAAACGAUGAUUACUCGCUGCUGAGGGGUGACUUUCAGUGGCUAAGCGAAAGCGAUAAGUAAUCCACCUGGGCAAGUACGCCGGCAACGGUGAUAACUCAAAGGAAUUGACGAAGCCCGCACAAGCGGAGAGUGAGCAUGUGGUUUAACAGGAUGAUACGCGAGGAACCUUACCAGGUAUUUGAAAGUUAGUGACCGGUGGUGAAAGCCACUUAUUUCAGCAAUGACACGAAACUAGGUGCUGCAUGGCUGUCGUCAGCUCGUGCCGUGAGGUGUUGGGUUAAGGCUACGCAACGAGCGCAACCCCUACCAUUAGUUGCCAACAGGUUAAGCUGGGGUAUUCUAAUGGAACUGCCCUGACCGUGCAAGCGGAGAGGAAGGUGGGGAUGACGUCAAGUCAUCACGGCCCUUACGUCCUGGGCUACACACGUGCUACAAUGGCCACUAACAGAGGGCAGCUACACAGCAAUGUGAUGCUAAUCUUUCAAGUGGUCUCAGUUCGCAAUUGGGGUCUGCAACUCGACCUCAUCAAGCUGGAUUCGCUAGUAAUCGCGAUUCAGCAUUGGCGCGGUGAAUACGUUCCCGGGUAUUGUACACACCACCGUCAAGCCAUGAAUACUGGAAAGUAUCUA